UACGGAGGGUGCAAGCGUUAUCCGGAUUCACUGGGCUUAAAGGGUGCGUAGGUGGGUUGGUAAGUCAGUGGUGAAAUCCCCGAGCUUAACUUGGGAACUGCCAUUGAUACUAUUAAUCUUGAAUACCGUGGAGGUUAGCGGAAUAUGUCAUGUAGCGGUGAAAUGCUUAGAUAUGACAUAGAACACCAAUUGCGAAGGCAGCUGGCUACACGAAUAUUGACACUGAUGCACGAAAGCGUGGGGAUCAAACAGG
rnacentral:rRNA from 1 species